CGGGCUUACGCCUUCCCAGCGCCCUUUGCCGCCUCUCGGGAGGCCCCGCACGGACCCCAGCCUGGCUGGGCCGUCCCCUCCGGAUGGGCCGGCGGGCGGAGCAGCGCAGAGGGCACCGCCCUCGGCCCGCCCGCCGAGGAGGGGACGCGAGCGGGAGGCUGCGCCAGCGGCGCCCGCCGGGGGCCCGCCGCACUCUGCUCUCGGCCUCCCGAGCUGCGGGGACGGGACGGCUACCUGCGCUGACUCUGCGGGCCGGGAGCCGAGUCCGGGACAGAGCCGGAGCCGCUGAGGGAGGCGAGAGGGCAGUGCGCGGAGAUGGCGGCCGCGGCGGCGGAGGAAGGGAUGGAGCCGCGGGCGCUGCAGUACGAGCAGACCCUGAUGUAUGGCCGGUACACUCAGGACCUUGGGGCCUUUGCCAAAGAGGAAGCUGCUCGGAUUCGCCUGGGAGGGCCUGAACCCUGGAAAGGUCCCCCUUCCCCUCGGGCUGCCCCAGAGCUCUUGGAAUAUGGACGGAGCCGUUGUGCCCGAUGCCGCAUCUGUUCUGUCCGCUGCCACAAAUUCCUAGUAUCCAGGGUUGGUGAAGAUUGGAUCUUCCUGGUCCUGCUGGGGCUCCUCAUGGCAUUGGUCAGCUGGGCCAUGGACUAUGCCAUUGCUGCCUGUCUGCAAGCCCAGCAGUGGAUGUCCCGGGGUUUGAACACUAGCAUCUUACUCCAGUACCUGGCCUGGGUCACCUACCCUGUUGUCCUCAUCACUUUCUCAGCCGGAUUCACACAGAUCCUGGCCCCUCAGGCUGUCGGCUCUGGCAUCCCUGAGAUGAAGACCAUCUUGCGGGGGGUGGUGCUGAAAGAAUACCUCACACUCAAGACCUUUAUAGCUAAGGUCAUUGGGCUGACCUGCGCCCUGGGCAGCGGAAUGCCGCUUGGCAAAGAGGGCCCUUUUGUGCAUAUCGCAAGCAUGUGUGCUGCCCUUCUCAGCAAGUUCCUCUCCCUCUUUGGGGGUAUCUAUGAGAAUGAAUCCCGGAACACAGAGAUGCUGGCUGCCGCCUGUGCCGUGGGGGUGGGCUGCUGCUUUGCGGCACCUAUUGGAGGCGUCCUCUUCAGCAUCGAGGUCACCUCCACCUUCUUCGCGGUACGGAACUACUGGCGGGGCUUCUUCGCUGCCACCUUCAGCGCCUUCAUCUUCCGGGUCUUGGCAGUCUGGAACCGGGAUGAAGAGACUAUUACGGCCCUCUUCAAAACCCGAUUCCGGCUCGACUUCCCCUUUGACCUGCAGGAGCUGCCAGCCUUUGCUGUCAUUGGUAUUGCUAGUGGCUUCGGUGGAGCCCUCUUUGUCUACCUGAACCGGAAGAUUGUCCAGGUGAUGCGGAAGCAGAAAACCAUCAAUCGCUUCCUCAUGAGGAAACGCCUGCUCUUCCCGGCUCUGGUGACGCUGCUCAUCUCCACGCUGACCUUCCCCCCUGGCUUUGGACAGUUCAUGGCUGGACAGCUCUCACAGAAAGAGACGCUGGUCACCCUGUUUGACAAUCGGACGUGGGUCCACCAGGGCCUGGUGGAGGAGCUAGAACUACCCAGCACCUCACAGGCCUGGAACCCACCACGUGCCAACGUCUUCCUCACCCUGGUCAUCUUCAUUCUCAUGAAGUUCUGGAUGUCUGCACUGGCCACCACCAUCCCAGUUCCCUGUGGCGCCUUCAUGCCUGUCUUUGUCAUUGGAGCAGCAUUUGGGCGUCUGGUGGGCGAAAGCAUGGCCGCCUGGUUCCCAGAUGGAAUUCAUACAGACAGCAGCACCUACCGGAUUGUGCCUGGGGGCUACGCUGUGGUUGGGGCGGCUGCGUUGGCAGGAGCGGUGACACACACAGUGUCCACGGCUGUGAUCGUGUUCGAGCUCACAGGCCAGAUUGCCCAUAUCCUGCCUGUCAUGAUCGCCGUCAUCCUGGCUAACGCUGUCGCCCAGAGUCUACAGCCCUCCCUCUAUGACAGCAUCAUCCGAAUCAAGAAACUGCCCUACCUGCCUGAGCUGGGCUGGGGCCGCCACCAGCAGUACCGGGUGCGUGUGGAGGACAUCAUGGUGCGGGAUGUUCCCCAUGUGGCCCUCAGCUGCACCUUCCGGGACCUGCGGUUGGCACUGCACAGGACCAAGGGCCGAAUGCUGGCCCUAGUGGAGUCCCCUGAGUCCAUGAUUCUGCUGGGUUCCAUCGAGCGUUCACAGGUGGUGGCAUUGCUGGGGGCCCAGCUGAGCCCAGCCCGCCGGCGGCAGCACAUGCAGGAGCGCAGAGCCACCCAGACCUCUCCACCACCUGAUCAGGAGGGUCUCCCUAGCCCUGAGGCUUCUGUCUGCUUCCAGGUGAACACAGAAGACUCAGGCUUCCCGGCAGCCCGGGGGGAGACCCACAAGCCCCUAAAGCCUGCACUCAAGAGGGGGCCCAGUGUCACCAGGAACCUUGGAGAGAGUCCCACAGGAAGCGCGGAGUCGGCAGGCAUCGCCCUCCGGAGCCUCUUCUGUGGCAGUCCACCCCCUGAAGCUGCUUCAGAGAAGUUGGAAUCCUGUGAGAAGCGCAAGCUGAAGCGGGUCCGAAUCUCCCUGGCAAGUGACGCGGACCUGGAAGGCGAGAUGAGCCCUGAAGAGAUUCUGGAGUGGGAGGAGCAACAACUAGAUGAACCUGUCAACUUCAGUGACUGCAAAAUUGAUCCUGCUCCCUUCCAGCUGGUGGAGCGGACCUCUUUGCACAAGUGUGAUGAAAAGUGACUGGGGCUGCACAGCCACUCCUGAUGACCUGCCCGGAACAAGUCACUUCACUGUUGAGCCCCAUGCUGCUUCUCCUAAUGCUUAGUUCUCAGGACAGUACUGGAAUUAAAUGAUAAUGAAGAUCUAGCAUGGAGCCUGGCCAAUCACUAGAUUUCACAUGUGAAGAGUUGUUCUGUCCUGCAUCCCCCUUUCUAACAUGAGACUAAGAAUUCUUCCCCCAUCCUAUUUCUCCGUCAAUAUAAGCAACAUAAGGAUUUUGAGUAUCAAGUUUCUGAGGCCUGGACACAGAAACAUUCUAUUAUUACUAUUGUCAUUAUUUUCCCUCCAGCAGUCCUGUCUCCUUCCCUCCCAAUCUGUGGCACCCCUUCUAUUCCACACCAACCUUGUCCUGGGCCCCUGUGGCCUGUCAUUUAGAGCUGCCCAUUGUCCAUCAAGUCCAAUCUCUUUUCUUCCCACACUGCAGACUCACACCAUCUUCUCACUGCUGGGAGUGGACCAUGCUUAUGUCACCAGUAUUGGCAGACUCAUUGGAAUCGUUACUCUAAAGGAGCUCCGGAAGGCUAUCGAGGGCUCUGUCACAGCACAGGGUGUGAAAGUUCGGCCGCCCCUCGCCAGCUUCCGAGACAGUGCCACCAGCAGCAGUGACACGGAGACCACUGAGGUGCAUGCACUCUGGGGACCCCACUCCCGUCAUGGCCUCCCCCGGGAGGGCAGCCCUUCCGACAGCGAUGACAAAUGCCAAUGAGCCCCUCGUGGGUGGCCUAGGAUGGUGCUAGCCAUGCCCGUCAUCCCAGAAUGUGCAUCUCUCAUUCCUUCUGCCUUGGGAAGGCAGGAGGCAGCUACAGCCGGAGGCUAUACCCCAGCCCCCUCCAGACCUGGGGUGCCAGCUUCUCCCAGUUUAUCCUACCUGGAAUCUGACCCACUGCCCACCUACAGCAACUUUUCCAGGGGCAGGAAGAUCAGCCCUGCCCUGGCAGGAUGAGGUUGGGGUCACUUGACCCCUGCUCCCCCUUUGAGGGGAAAGGGGUGGAACUAAGAUGGGUUUAUAACUGGAACUUCAAUGACCAGAUGUAUAUAGAGAUUUACAAAGAUUUUUAUAUUAAUUUAAUAAAACAAAUUCUUAAAUAGAACAAAAUAAA